UAGGACCUCUCUGUGUGUAAGAUGUGCC
rnacentral:piRNA from 1 species